rnacentral:tRNA from 1 species
GGCGGCGUAGCCAAGUGGUUCAAGGCAGCGGUUUGCAAAACCGCCAUAUGUCGCGGGUUCGAAUCCCGCCGCCGCCUCCA